UACGUAGGGACCGAGCGUUGUCCGGAUUCAUUGGGCGUAAAGAGCUCGUAGGCGGCUGUUCAAGUCGAACGUGAAAACUCGGAGCUCAACUCCGAGCCUGCGUUCGAUACUGGACGGCUAGAGUCUGGUAGGGGGAUCUGGAAUUCCUGGUGUAGCGGUGGAAUGCGCAGAUAUCAGGAGGAACACCGAUUGCGAAGGCAGCUCGCUGGGACGUCACUGACGCUGAGACGCGAAAGCGUGGGGAGCAAACAGG
rnacentral:rRNA from 1 species